CAACGAAUCUUCCGCAAUGGGCGCAAGCCUGACGGAGCAAUGUCGCGUGCGGGAUGAAGCGUCUCUGACGUGUAAACCGCUGUCAGGGGGUCGAACCAAUGAUUGCCCCCAGAGGAAGUGGCGACUAACUCUGUGCCAGCAGUCGCGGUAAUACAGAGGCCACGAACGUUAUUCGGAAUCACUGGGCUUAAAGGGUGCGUAGGCGGGCCGCCAAGUGUUCUGUGAAAGCCCCGGGCUCAACCCGGGAAC
rnacentral:rRNA from 1 species